rnacentral:rRNA from 1 species
AUGGCCCCCUCACAGGAAGUCGCGGCCCCCGCCGCCACCGCCACCAAGGAGCCAUCCGCCAACGGCAACGGGACCAACGGCACGCCCGCAGCCGCCCCCAAGACCAAGGCCCCGGCGCUGAACGAGCGGAUCCUCUCCUCCAUCACCCGCCGCUCCGUCGCCGCCCACCCGUGGCACGACCUGGAGAUCGGCCCGGACGCUCCCACAAUCUUCAACUGCGUAAGCACGCAACCUUCUUCUUCCUCCUCCCGCCACCACCAAUUCCGGCCGCCACGCAAACUAAAUCAUCUCCGCAACUCCGUGCAGGUGAUCGAGAUCCCCAAGGGGAGCAAGGUCAAGUACGAGCUGGACAAGAAGACGGGGCUCAUCAAGGUGGACCGCGUGCUCUACUCCUCCGUCGUCUACCCGCACAACUACGGCUUCAUCCCGCGCACCCUCUGCGACGACUCCGACCCCAUCGACGUCCUCGUCAUCAUGCAGGAGCCCGUCGUCCCCGGAUGCUUCCUCCGCGCCAAGGCCAUCGGACUCAUGCCCAUGAUCGACCAGGGCGAGGCCGACGACAAGAUCAUCGCCGUCUGCGCCGACGAUCCCGAGUACCGCCACUUCAACGACAUCAAGGAGCUGCCCCCGCACCGCCUCGCCGAGAUCAGGCGAUUCUUCGAGGACUACAAGAAGAACGAGAACAAGGAGGUGGCCGUCAACGACUUCCUGCCGUCGGAGGACGCCUACGAGGCCAUCCAGCACUCCAUGGAUCUCUAUGCCACCUACAUUUGCGAGGGCCUGAGAAGAUAG